CGUAGGGUGCGAGCGUUGUCCGGAAUUACUGGGCGUAAAGAGCUCGUAGGUGGUUUGUCGCGUUGUUCGUGAAAACUCACAGCUUAACUGUGGGCGUGCGGGCGAUACGGGCAGACUGGAGUACUGUAGGGGAGACUGGAAUUCCUGGUGUAGCGGUGGAAUGCGCAGAUAUCAGGAGGAACACCGGUGGCGAAGGCGGGUCUCUGGGCAGUAACUGACGCUGAGGAGCGAAAGCGUGGGGAGCGAACAGGAUU
rnacentral:rRNA from 1 species